AGCGUACACGGUGGAUGCCCUGGCAGUCAGAGGCGAUGAAGGACGUGCUAAUCUGCGAAAAGCGUCGGUAAGGUGAUAUGAACCGUUAUAGCCGGCGAUGUCCGAAUGGGGAAACCCAGUGCAAUUCGUUGCACUAUCGUUAACUGAAUACAUAGGUUAACGAGGCGAACCGGGGGAACUGAAACAUCUAAGUACCCCGAGGAAAAGAAAUCAACCGAGAUUCCCCCAGUAGCGGCGAGCGAACGGGGAGCAGCCCAGAGUCUGAAUCAGCUUGUGUGUUAGUGGAACGGUCUGGAAAGUCCGACGGUACAGGGUGAUAGUCCCGUACACCAAAAUGCACAGGCUGUGAACUCGAAGAGUAGGGCGGGACACGUGGUAUCCUGUCUGAAUAUGGGGGGACCAUCCUCCAAGGCUAAAUACUCCUGACUGACCGAUAGUGAACCAGUACCGUGAGGGAAAGGCGAAAAGAACCCCGGCGAGGGGAGUGAAAAAGAACCUGAAACCGUGUACGUACAAGCAGUGGGAGCACCUUCGGGUGUGACUGCGUACCUUUUGUAUAAUGGGUCAGCGACUUAUAUUCUGUAGCAAGGUUAACCGUAUAGGGGAGCCGCAGGGAAACCGAGUCUUAACUGGGCGUUAAGUUGCAGGGUAUAGACCCGAAACCCGGUGAUCUAGCCAUGGGCAGGUUGAAGGUUGGGUAACACUAACUGGAGGACCGAACCGACUAAUGUUGAAAAAUUAGCGGAUGACUUGUGGCUGGGGGUGAAAGGCCAAUCAAACCGGGAGAUAGCUGGUUCUCCCCGAAAGCUAUUUAGGUAGCGCCUCGUGAACUCAUCUUCGGGGGUAGAGCACUGUUUCGGCUAGGGGGUCAUCCCGACUUACCAACCCGAUGCAAACUACGAAUACCGAAGAAUGUUAUCACGGGAGACACACGGCGGGUGCUAACGUCCGUCGUGAAGAGGGAAACAACCCAGACCGCCAGCUAAGGUCCCAAAGUCAUGGUUAAGUGGGAAACGAUGUGGGAAGGCACAGACAGCCAGGAUGUUGGCUUAGAAGCAGCCAUCAUUUAAAGAAAGCGUAAUAGCUCACUGGUCGAGUCGGCCUGCGCGGAAGAUGUAACGGGGCUAAACCAUGCACCGAAGCUGCGGCAGCGACACUAUGUGUUGUUGGGUAGGGGAGCGUUCUGUAAGCCUGCGAAGGUGUGCUGUGAGGCAUGCUGGAGGUAUCAGAAGUGCGAAUGCUGACAUAAGUAACGAUAAAGCGGGUGAAAAGCCCGCUCGCCGGAAGACCAAGGGUUCCUGUCCAACGUUAAUCGGGGCAGGGUGAGUCGACCCCUAAGGCGAGGCCGAAAGGCGUAGUCGAUGGGAAACAGGUUAAUAUUCCUGUACUUGGUGUUACUGCGAAGGGGGGACGGAGAAGGCUAUGUUAGCCGGGCGACGGUUGUCCCGGUUUAAGCAUGUAGGCUGGUUAUCCAGGCAAAUCCGGAUAAUCAAGGCUGAGGUGUGAUGACGAGGCACUACGGUGCUGAAGUAACAAAUGCCCUGCUUCCAGGAAAAGCCUCUAAGCAUCAGGUAACAUUAAAUCGUACCCCAAACCGACACAGGUGGUCAGGUAGAGAAUACCAAGGCGCUUGAGAGAACUCGGGUGAAGGAACUAGGCAAAAUGGUGCCGUAACUUCGGGAGAAGGCACGCUGGUGUGUAGGUGAAGCCCCUGCGGGUGGAGCUGAGACCAGUCGAAGAUACCAGCUGGCUGCAACUGUUUAUUAAAAACACAGCACUGUGCAAACACGAAAGUGGACGUAUACGGUGUGACGCCUGCCCGGUGCCGGAAGGUUAAUUGAUGGGGUUAUCCGUAAGGAGAAGCUCUUGAUCGAAGCCCCGGUAAACGGCGGCCGUAACUAUAACGGUCCUAAGGUAGCGAAAUUCCUUGUCGGGUAAGUUCCGACCUGCACGAAUGGCGUAAUGAUGGCCAGGCUGUCUCCACCCGAGACUCAGUGAAAUUGAACUCGCUGUGAAGAUGCAGUGUACCCGCGGCAAGACGGAAAGACCCCGUGAACCUUUACUAUAGCUUGACACUGAACAUUGAGCCUUGAUGUGUAGGAUAGGUGGGAGGCUUUGAAGCGUGGACGCCAGUCUGCGUGGAGCCAACCUUGAAAUACCACCCUUUAAUGUUUGAUGUUCUAACGUUGGCCCCUGACCGGGGUUGCGGACAGUGUCUGGUGGGUAGUUUGACUGGGGCGGUCUCCUCCCAAAGCGUAACGGAGGAGCACGAAGGUUAGCUAAUCCUGGUCGGACAUCAGGAGGUUAGUGCAAUGGCAUAAGCUAGCUUGACUGCGAGCGUGACGGCGCGAGCAGGUGCGAAAGCAGGUCAUAGUGAUCCGGUGGUUCUGAAUGGAAGGGCCAUCGCUCAACGGAUAAAAGGUACUCCGGGGAUAACAGGCUGAUACCGCCCAAGAGUUCAUAUCGACGGCGGUGUUUGGCACCUCGAUGUCGGCUCAUCACAUCCUGGGGCUGAAGUAGGUCCCAAGGGUAUGGCUGUUCGCCAUUUAAAGUGGUACGCGAGCUGGGUUUAGAACGUCGUGAGACAGUUCGGUCCCUAUCUGCCGUGGGCGCUGGAGAAUUGAGGGGGGCUGCUCCUAGUACGAGAGGACCGGAGUGGACGCAUCACUGGUGUUCGGGUUGUCAUGCCAAUGGCACUGCCCGGUAGCUAAAUGCGGAAGAGAUAAGUGCUGAAAGCAUCUAAGCACGAAACUUGCCCCGAGAUGAGUUCU
rnacentral:rRNA from 1 species